UAGGGAAUCUUCCACAAUGGACGCAAGUCUGAUGGAGCAACGCCGCGUGAGUGAAGAAGGUUUUCGGAUCGUAAAGCUCUGUUGUUGGUGAAGAAGGAUAGAGGCAGUAACUGGUCUUUAUUUGACGGUAAUCAACCAGAAAGUCACGGCUAACUACGUGCCAGCAGCCGCGGUAAUACGUAGGUGGCAAGCGUUGUCCGGAUUUAUUGGGCGUAAAGCGAGCGCAGGCGGAAUGAUAAGUCUGAUGUGAAAGCCCACGGCUCAACCGUGGAACUGCAUCGGAAACUGUCAUUCUUGAGUGCAGAAGAGGAGAGUGGAAUUCCAUGUGUAGCGGUGGAAUUCGUAGAUAUAUGGAAGAACACCAGUGGCGAAGGCGGCUCUCUGGUCUGCAACUGACGCUGAGGCUCGAAAGCAUGGGUAGCGAACAGG
rnacentral:rRNA from 1 species